rnacentral:rRNA from 1 species
GAUGAACGCUGGCGGCGUGCCUAAUACAUGCAAGUCGAACGCUGGAAAUCUAGCUUGCUAGAUUGAAGGAGUGGCGAACGGGUGAGUAAUACAUAAGCAACCUACCCACGAAGACUGGGAUAAUCUCUGGAAACGGGGACUAAUACCGGAUAGGUAAUCGGAAGGCAUCUUCUGAUUAUUAAAGGUUAAAAACACUGGUGGAUGGGCUUAUGGCGCAUUAGUUAGUUGGUGAGGUAACGGCCCACCACGACGAUGAUGCGUAGCCGGCCUGAGAGGGUGAACGGCCACAUUGGGACUGAGACACGGCCCAGACUCCUACGGGAGGCAGCAGUAGGGAAUUUUCGGCAAUGGGGGAAACCCUGACCGAGCAACGCCGCGUGAGUGAUGACGGCCUUCGGGUUGUAAAGCUCUGUUGUAAGGGAAGAACGGUAGAUAGAGAAUAUCUAAAUGACGGUACCAUACCAGAAAGCCACGGCGAACUACGU